AAAAAAGAUAAGCUAAUCAAGCUAUUAGGUUCAUACCCUAAAGAUAAAGAUUUUAUUCUUUUCUUUUU
rnacentral:tRNA from 1 species